rnacentral:rRNA from 1 species
UACGUAGGGUGCGAGCGUUGUCCGGAAUUAUUGGGCGUAAAGAGCUCGUAGGCGGCUUGUCGCGUCGGAUGUGAAAGCCCGGGGCUUAACUCCGGGUCUGCAUUCGAUACGGGCAGGCUAGAGUUCGGUAGAGGAGAUCGGAAUUCCUGGUGUAGCGGUGAAAUGCGCAGAUAUCAGGAGGAACACCGGUGGCGAAGGCGGAUCUCUGGGCCGUAACUGACGCUGAGGAGCGAAAGCAUGGGGAGCGAACAGG